rnacentral:tRNA from 1 species
GUCUAAGAAGUGUUUCACGCCACCUUUUCGUGGUGGAAAAGGAAGGAUGCCCUACCCUUAGACA